rnacentral:rRNA from 1 species
AGCAGUAGGGAAUCUUCCACAAUGGACGAAAGUCUGAUGGAGCAAUGCCGCGUGAGUGAAGAAGGGUUUCGGCUCGUAAAACUCUGUUGUUAAAGAAGAACACCUUUGAGAGUAACUGUUCAAGGGUUGACGGUAUUUAACCAGAAAGCCACGGCUAACUACGUGCCAGCAGCCGCGGUAAUACGUAGGUGGCAAGCGUUGUCCGGAUUUAUUGGGCGUAAAGCGAGCGCAGGCGGUUUUUUAAGUCUGAUGUGAAAGCCUUCGGCUUAACCGGAGAAGUGCAUCGGAAACUGGGAGACUUGAGUGCAGAAGAGG